AAAGACCUGACAGUCAACCAACAGUCUGUCGUAUAUCUGGUAUAAGCCUCACAUUACAGAGUUAAAAUGGUGCCUCUGAUAUUUUUGAUGCUAAUUCCAUUAUCUAAUGGACUUUCUGGGGUAAAUGACACGACACAAACAGAUUCUGCUGUUUCUACUGUGUCAGUUUUCCCUGCCACGGGAAAUGGGUCUUCUCCUAGCGAGACGAUAGUGCCAGCUCAGGGUCCUUUGGGGGCGCUGGGGCUGGCUCCUCGGGCUCGAGGUUUCAGAGGUGGCAUACAUACAGGGAAGCUGAUUUCGAGAUCUGAUGCCUCAGUGGGAACUGGUACUGGGACAGAGACAAAUUCGAUACCCGCUACUUCAUCGACAACGGAAGCCGAUAAUGAAUCCUUCGCGCAGUCUUUUAGCCGACUCAUCCAACCGGGUGGAAAACUCUACGCCAUGAUGCAGCCAGGAGGUGUCCUACACACAGUAUUGAAGAAUUAUGGUAGAGGCGGCAAUGAUACCAUUUCUAAAAUAGGGAACGAGUUACAGCAAGCUUUCUUUCCUAUAAGAGUAGUCCGGGAAAACCACUAAAUAUAUAUGCAAUAUGCAAGAAUUGUUACCACUGUUCAUUUGGCUUACUUACUAUAUUAACAAUAGAAAGGUCAUCUUAAGAACGCUUUAAAACCCUAACAUACUAAAUUAAGGACCGAUCAUACACAAUAAAAAGCGCUUUCAAUUUAAAAG